rnacentral:lncRNA from 1 species
UGUCUUGGAUACUAGUCAGGAAUCUGGAGAUAUUUUAAUAAAUGGUCCUUCAAUAAAAGGUUAGUUUCUUUUAUGUGGUUUGAGAGCUAUUGCAUAGGAGGAGAGUUUUACCCUGUGCCCACCUGUUAGACCCGCAAUCUACUUGAUCUAACUACGUGCAGACAUGCCAAGGACUUGGGCAUUGGUCUUGGCAUGGAUGAUGGUAAAACAGUGCAACACAAGUUCAAGGUGCUUGGGUGUUGGCAAGGCAACUUGAACGUGCAUGGCUUACGUGCGGGCUAAGGGCGUUGGCAAGACAGCAUGUUGACUUGAUGAAGCAAGGCUGUGAAGACUUGGCAAGGUCAAAGACAAAGGCAGUUCACCCGAAAUUGCUGAAAUAAAACUAAGUGUGGAAGACAGCUAAAAUAUUCUAAGUGUUGGAAGCUGGCAGGAUUAUUCUAAGUGUUGGAAUGAAGCCUGAAAUAUUCUAAGUGUUAGAAUAUUAGUAUUUCGUGUAGAUAAGAAUGUAAUUUGAAUUAGAUUCUAUCUGUUGGAAAUAUAACUGUUGGAAAGUUAGUUUUGAACCCUGGGCUGACAUGUGUCGGAUAGGUGUCAUGUGUAACCGCCGCAUGUAACCGCUUGUAACUGCCAUUGUGCAGAAUUUUGAUUUAAGGUGGAAAUUCAUCUAAGGCAAGAGACAGAGUUUUCUAGCCUUAGACUGAUUUGUGAAGCCUUCCUUUGUAUUAAUUAUCGAUUAAUAAAGGUUGGGACUUGGUCCUGUAAACGCUGCCUGUUUAUUGUUUGACAUUGCUGUUUAAGUAUUUCUAUACUUAGUCAAUUCUGUGGGUGUAAGUAGGCUGAAGUAUUACAGAUGCUGUAAGACUGCCUAGAGUGGUGUGCGAGAAAAAUAAAUCGACCCUCUUUCAAUUGGUAUCAGAGCACGGUUAAAAAAUGGUGAAAAACGCAAAACUAUGGGAGUUGGCACGAAAAUUUGAAUCCUUCGUCUGGUUUACUGAAGAUGUUCUGGCAGACCCUACGUUUGUGGAUUUAUUCACACAAAUCAUUGAGUUGAGAGUGGACGCUGAGAAAGUUCAAGGAGAAAUUGGUGGAUAUCGACAAAAUGUUGAUAACCACAUCACUGAAAUCUUGGACUUUCGUGCUACAACUACACAGAAACUAGAGGGACUGCAGAAGGAAAAUGAGAACCUUCGUGCAGAACUCGUCGUUUUGUGUCGGGCUGUGGCUGCGUUGAGUUCGACUCGUGUUGAAUCAUCUAAGGUUAAGAUUCCAGAUCCUAAAGCCUUCAGUGGCGCAAGGAGUGCUAAAGAACUUGAAAAUUUCAUAUGGGACAUGGAACAGUACUUUACCGCUGCAAGAGUGCUGGACGCUGAUAAGUUAAACAUUACCACAAUGUACUUGUCGGGUGAUGCGAAACUUUGGUGGAGGACUCGUAAUGCAGACGACGUAAGUGCUGGUCGUCCUAGAAUUGAUACAUGGGAUAAUCUUAUAAAAGAAACGCGCGAUCAAUUUCUUCCUAGCAAUGCAUCUUGGCUUGCAAGGGAUAAAUUGAAAAGGUUAAGGCAGACGGGUUCAGUGAGGGAAUAUAUAAAAGAAUUUACCUCUGUGAUGUUAGACAUACAAAAUAUGUCUGAUGAGGAUAAACUUCACAAUUUCAUUUCGGGCAUGCAAGGCUGGGCUCAAAACGAACUACGAAGGCAGAAUGUUAAAGAUCUGCCUGGGGCAAUUGUUGCUGCUGAUUCGUUGGUAGAUUUCCGGACGACUCGUCCUUCGACAGAUGUCCCUUCUACUUCGAAAAAUAAGAAAAAGAAUGAAAAGAAAGGGGAAUGGAGAAAGGAUAGUCGUAAAGAGAAUGCAAACGAUAAAGGAAAGGCACAAAUGAAGGAUGGGAAAGACAGACCCAAGAGUAAAGAUGGAAACUCUAAAGGCUGUUGGACUUGUGGUGGUCCUCAUUUGGCCAAAUCUUGUCCAAACCGGGAAAAAGUGAAUGCUUUGCUUGCUGGUAAUGUGAAUCAAAGGGAGGAGGAUGAAGAAAUCGUGACUGCAAUGGCAAACCCAUUGGGAUUGUCCUUCAAUCACAUUAUGGGGAUCAAUAAUGUUGGAGAGAUCUCUAGCACUUCGAAUCCUCAUGCUUCCUUAAUUCAUAUAGAAAUGAAAGUGAAGGAACAAUGUGUGAUGGCAAUGGUUGAUACAGGGGCCACACACACGUUUGUAGAUGUGAAGAUUGCUACAAAAUUGGGGCUGAAGUUGUCUAAAAGCCCUUCCUACGUCAAGACAAUCAAUGCUAAGGCACAAGCCAUUGUGGGCAUGGCUUAUAGUGUGUCUAUGUCGACUGGAAAUUGGGUGGGAAAACAUAAUUUGAUGGUGAUGCCGCUUGGAGACUUUGAAAUUAUACUUGGGAUUGAUUUCCUAAGAAAAUACCAGUUUGUUCCGUUUCCUCACUUAGAUGGAGUGAUGGUAAUGAGUGGAAGUGAUGCUGGUUUUCUGAAGGGUGUUCAUCCGUUUGGAAACAUUAAUAAAGUUGCGAAGAAGAAAGACAAGGAAAUGUUGUUGUCUGCUAUGUCGAUCGACAAAGGGCUGAAGAAAGGUGAUGAAACCAUACUUGCUGCCUUGGUCGAAAUUAAACCUGAUGUGAAGAUGGAAGUGCCUGAUUGUGUUGCUGAAUUACUUAAACAGUAUGCUGAUGUUAUGCCUCCUGAAUUACCAAAGAAAUUACCACCAAGGAGGGAUAUUGAUCACAAGAUUGAGUUGCUGCCUGGUACGGUUGCCCCUGCACAAGCUCCUUAUCGUAUGGCUCCUAAAGAAUUGGUUGAACUACGCAAACAAUUGAAUGAAUUGCUAGAUGCUGGAUUUAUUCAGCCGUCUAAGGCUCCAUAUGGUGCUCCUGUUCUAUUCCAAAAGAAACAGGAUGGAACAAUGAGAAUGUGUGUGGACUACCGGGCGCUGAAUAAGGCAACCAUAAAGAACAAAUAUCCGGUUCCGUUGGUGCAAGAUAAUGGACAGGUUAAGCAAGGCAUGCUGGUUCACAAAACUUGAUUUGAGAGCAGGCUAUUGGCAGGUUAGGAUAGCAGAGGGUGAUGAGCCAAAAACAACAUGUGUAACUAGAUAUGGUUCCUAUGAAUUCCUUGUAAUGCCGUUUGGGCUGACUAAUGCCCCGGCAACAUUCUGCAAUUUAAUGAACAAUGUACUGUUUGACUAUCUUGAUGACUUCGUUGUUGUUUACUUAGAUGAUAUUGUUAUAUAUAGUCGAACGUUGGAAGAACAUGUUAAUCACCUAAGUCUGGUUCUGUCUCAAUUGAGAAAAUACACACUCUAUGUCAAGAUGGAAAAGUGUGAAUUUGCUCAACAAGAGAUAAAGUUCUUGGGGCAUCUUGUUAGUAAAAACCAAGUUCGAAUGGAUCCUAAGAAAGUGCAGGCCAUUGUUGAUUGGCAGGCACCUCGUCAUGUGAAGGAUUUGAGGUCGUUUCUUGGCUUGGCUAACUAUUAUCGAAAGUUUAUUGCUGGUUACUCAAAGAAGGCAGCGUCUUUGACAGAUCUGUUGAAGAAAGAUGCAAAAUGGGUUUGUUCCAAACAGUGUGAAGAAGCAUUUCAAAAUUUAAAGAAUGCUAUUGCAUCAGAACCUAUACUCAAAUUGCCUGAUUUUGAGUUACCGUUUGAAGUACACACUGAUGCGUCAGACAAGGCGAUUGGUGGCGUAUUAGUGCAGGAAGGUCAUCCAGUAGCCUUCAAAAGUAGAAAGUUGAAUGAUGCUGAACAAAGAUACUCAACACAUGAGAAAGAAAUGGUUGCGGUGGUACACUGUUUGCAGGUUUGGAGAGUCUAUCUCUUAGGCACUCGAUUUGUGGUAAGAACUGAUAAUGUAGCAAAUACAUUCUUCAAAACACAGAAAAAGUUGAGUCCUAAACAAGCACGGUGGCAAGAAUUCCUGGCAGAAUAUGAUUUCAUGUGGGAACAUAAACCAGGAAAACACAACCAGGUUGCUGAUGCGUUGAGUAGGAAAGAAGUGUUUGUUGCAGUAUAUUCAAUUUCAAAACUGGAAACUGAUUUCUAUGAUAGAAUCAGAUUGUGUGCUGCAAAUGAUUCGUUAUAUGUUAAAUGGAUGGGUCAGGUGUAGGAGGGCACAAUGAGACGGUAUUGGAUCGAGGACGAUCUGCUCUAUUUUAAAGGGGGGAGAAUCGUUGUGCCAAAUCAGGGCGGUUGCGCAAAGACUUGAUGAAAGAAGCGCAUGACUCCGCUUGGGAUGGACAUCCAGGCGUUGAAAGGAUGUUCGCCUUACUGUCUCGUGUGUAUUUUUGGCCGAAAAUGGAAGACGAUAUAGAGGCGUACGUUAAGACUUGUCAUGUUUGUCAAGUUGACAAGACAGAUCGUAAAAAGGAAGCAGGGUUGCUGCAACCUUUGCCUAUUCCUGAAAGGCCAUGGCUAUCGGUAAGCAUGGAUUUCAUUUCUGGAUUCCCUAAAGUAGAUGGCAAAGCAUCUAUCAUGGUGGUAGUUGACAGGUUUUCAAAAUAUUCUGUUUUUAUUGCUGCUCCUGAGUUAUGCUCAUCUGAAGUUGCUGCUGAGUUAUUCUAUAAACAUGUGAUUAAAUACUUUGGUGUUCCGGCUGACAUUGUGAGUGAUAGAGACACAAGGUUCACGGGUAGAUUUUGGACAACAUUGUUCAAUAUGAUGGGAACUGAAUUAAAAUUUUCUACUACAAAUCACCCACAAACAGAUGGACAGACGGAAAGAAUUAAUCAUUUGUUGGAAGAGUACUUGAGGCAUUAUGUGACUGCAAGUCAACGGAAUUGGGUGGCAUUGUUAGACACUGCGUAGUUUUGCUAUAAUCUGCACAAGUCAUCUGCAACAGAAAUGAGUCCUUUUGAAAUAGUCUUAGGCAAACAGCCUAUGACGCCAUUAGAUGUUGCUAAAUCUAAGAAUCAGGGAAAGUGUCCAGCAGCAUACAGAGUUGCAAGGGACAGACUUGAAAUGUUAUCCGAGGCACAAGAUAGUUUGCGCAAGGCUCAGCAGCGCAUAAAGAAGUAUGCUGACCAACAUCGUCGCUCAGUUGAGUUCAAUGUGGGUGACAAGGUGUUGCUGAAACUUACCCCACAAAUCUGGAAACAGAUUGUAAGUAAGACCAGACAUCGGGGUUUGAUACCUAAGUAUGAUGGUCCAUUCGAAGUGGUAAAACGAGUGGGCGAAGUUGCUUAUAGGUUGAAGCUGCCAGAAAGGUUGAAAAUUCACCCCACCUUCCAUGUGAGUUUCUUGAAACCUUACUUUGCAGAAGAAGAUGAUCCGGACAGGAACAAAUCAAAGAGGGCUCCUCCAUCAGUACCUACAUAGUAUGAUGCUGAAAUUGAGAAGAUCCUUGAUCACCGGGUUUUGGGCACGAGUAAGAAGAAUACUAAGACUGAGUUCUUGGUCCAUUAGAAAGGCAAGAGUGCAGCAGAUGCUGUUUGGGAGAAAGCAAAAGACCUACGGCAGUUUGAUGCUCAAAUCGAUGACUAUCUCAAAAUAGUCUCGAUGAGGACAUCGGGUUCAAGUGGUGCGGGUGGUCUGUUAGACCCGCAAUCUACUUGAUCUAACUACGUGCAGACAUGCCAAGGACUUGGGCAUUGGUCUUGGCAUGGAUGAUGGCAAAAUAGUGCAACACAAGUUCAAGGUGCUUGGGUGUUGGCAAGGCAGCUUGAACGUGCAUGGCUUACGUGCGGGCUAAGGGCGUUGGCAAGGCAGCAUGUUGACUUGAUGAAGCAAGGCUGUGAAGACUUGGCAAGGUCAAAGACAAAGGCAGUUCACCCGAAAUUGCUGAAAUAAAACUAAGUGUGGAAGACAGCUAAAAUAUUCUAAGUGUUGGAAGCUGGCAGGAUUAUUCUAAGUGUUGGAAUGAAGCCUGAAAUAUUCUAAGUGUUAGAAUAUUAGUAUUUCGUGUAGAUAAGAAUGUAAUUUGAAUUAGAUUCUAUCUGUUGGAAAUAUAACUGUUGGAAAGUUAGUUUUGAACCCUGGGCUGACAUGUGUCGGACAGGUGUCAUGUGUAACCGCCGCAUGUAACCGCUUGUAACUGCCAUUGUGCAGAAUUUUGAUUUAAGGUGGAAAUUCGUCUAAGGCAAGAGACAGAGAGUUUUCUAGCCUUAGACUGAUUUGUGAAGCCUUCCUUUGUAUUAAUUAUCGAUUAAUAAAGGUUGGGACUUGGUCCUGUAAACGCUGCCUGUUUAUUGUUUGACAUUGCUGUUUAAGUAUUUCUAUACUUAGUCAAUUCUGUGGGUGUAAGUAGGCUGAAGUAUUACAGAUGCUGUAAGACUGCCUAGAGUGGUGUGCGAGAAAAAUAAAUCGACCCUCUUUCACCACCCAAAGGGUAGCAGUGUUUUCCUUGUCAUUAAAAAAUAAAAAUAAAUAAAGGCUAGUUUCUUGCUAAUCAUUAGUGUCAGACUCAUUCAACAUC